CAGCUCGUCGUAAGAAGCUCCGAUCAAUUCCUUAAUUCGAAACAAGUCACGGAGAACAAAACGCGAAGCAACUCAUCACUCAGAGCUUCGACACCUUCACUGAAUCAAAUCGUGUCCACCAUUUGCUGACUGGCAGUACUCACAUCACCAGCCAAGGAAGUUAGAGAGAGUGAUUACGCUUUUUUUUUUGUCCGUUAUAGUUAAGUUUCCAUAUUUGUGGCAAAUUAUUAGAGCACAUAACACAUUAGACUGCACAGGGACGCAGAAUGAAAGCACUCAGCAUCAACAGAGUGGCAGCAUGAUGAGGCUCACCAUGAAAUCAGGCAGCUGAAGCCUUGCAGUUCCGCAAUCCAUCCCAGCCCUCGGUCCUCCCCGUCCCCACCGCUCAGGGCCUCACACUCACACGUCAGCCUGAGGGUUGGUGCUGUCUGUCCCGUCCUGAGGGUGGUGGGCUGCCGUCUGU